AUGAACGCUGGCGGCGUGCCUAAUACAUGCAAGUCGAGCGAACAGAUGAGGAGCUUGCUCCUCUGACGUUAGCGGCGGACGGGUGAGUAACACGUGGAUAACCUACCUAUAAGACUGGGAUAACUUCGGGAAACCGGAGCUAAUACCGGAUAAUAUAUUGAACCGCAUGGUUCAAUAGUGAAAGACGGUUUUGCUGUCACUUAUAGAUGGAUCCGCGCCGCAUUAGCUAGUUGGUAAGGUAACGGCUUACCAAGGCGACGAUGCGUAGCCGACCUGAGAGGGUGAUCGGCCACACUGGAACUGAGACACGGUCCAGACCCCUACGGGAGGCAGCAGUAGGGAAUCUUCCGCAAUGGGCGAAAGCCUGACGGAGCAACGCCGCGUGAGUGAUGAAGGUCUUCGGAUCGUAAAACUCUGUUAUUAGGGAAGAACAAAUGUGUAAGUAACUAUGCACGUCUUGACGGUACCUAAUCAGAAAGCCACGGCUAACUACGUG
rnacentral:rRNA from 1 species